rnacentral:rRNA from 1 species
AUUGAACGCUGGCGGCAGGCCUAACACAUGCAAGUCGAGCGGAGCGGCGGACGGGUGAGUAAUGCCUAGGAAUCUGCCUGGGAGUGGGGGAUAACGUCCGGAAACGGGCGCUAAUACCGCAUACCAUCAGAUGUGCCCCGAUGGGCUUAGCUCGUAGGUGGGGUAACGGCUAACAUAGGCGACGAUCCCUAGCUGGUCUGAGAGGAUGACCAGCAACACUGGAACUGAGACACGGUCCAGACUCCUACGGGAGGCAGAAGUGGGGAAUAUUGAACAAUGGGCGAAAGCCUGAUGCAGCAAUGCCGCGUGUGUGAAGAAGGCCUUCGGGUUGUAAAGCACUUUCAGCGGGGAGGCGUUACCCGAAGAGGAAGCACCGGCUAACUACGUGCCAGCAGCCGCGGUAAUAC